CGUUCGAUGAACCUCUGAUUUUGUUGCAGCCUCGUGUGGAUCCCUUAUAGAGGUCGGAUGUGUGUACGGCUCCAAAGGUAAUAAAAAAAAUUAAUCACAUAGUUCUCGACCCACGCGAAGGUAAGAGAUCUGAUCUCUUCUCUUAUCAAGAUGUGAUCUAGACUUUAGAUCUAAAAUUAUUUUAGAUCUAGGGUAUUGAUUUGAUCAAUACCAAAGCUUUUAUUUUCUGACUUAUAAAUAUAGUAUGACAUGUUAUAGAUCCUAGUUGUAGGGUUUAAUAAUCUGAUUAUAUCAUUUAUAGAUUAAAUUAUUUAAUUUACAUAUUCUGCUACGUUAUAUUUCAAAAAUAUUUUGAAAUUCAUGCAUGAAACCCUACACCUUCUCCAACAGUGGUAUCAGAGCAUCUCGCUUCUUUUAUAAUAUAUUCAUGAUUACAUUAAAAUAAAUCUAAAAAAUAAAAUAAUGAUCACAUAGACUGUAGGUUGUCCUACUGUAAGGUUUACCCCUUACAGUGCAAAGGUUGUCCUAGUACGUUGUGAUCUAAAAAAUUAAAAGAUUUAAAUAAAUCUUAUCAUGAAUAUUUUAGAUUAAGUUUAUUUUAUUUCAUAAAUUUUUAUAUAAUGUACAUUGAUUAAAAUCAGCUUUGAACAGGAUCUUAUGAAGGUUCUGUUUACUGAUCGAGCCGGUGCUCUCAU
rnacentral:lncRNA from 1 species